ACUGUGAGCUCGAUGAGUAGGGCGGGACACGUGGUAUCCUGUCUGAAUAUGGGGGGACCAUCCUCCAAGGCUAAAUACUCCUGACUGACCGAUAGUGAACCAGUACCGUGAGGGAAAGGCGAAAAGAACCCCGGCGAGGGGAGUGAAAAAGAACCUGAAACCGUGUACGUACAAGCAGUGGGAGCACGCUUAGGCGUGUGACUGCGUACCUUUUGUAUAAUGGGUCAGCGACUUAUAUUCUGUAGCAAGGUUAACCGAAUAGGGGAGCCGAAGGGAAACCGAGUCUUAACUGGGCGUUAAGUUGCAGGGUAUAGACCCGAAACCCGGUGAUCUAGCCAUGGGCAGGUUGAAGGUUGGGUAACACUAACUGGAGGACCGAACCGACUAAUGUUGAAAAAUUAGCGGAUGACUUGUGGCUGGGGGUGAAAGGCCAAUCAAACCGGGAGAUAGCUGGUUCUCCCCGAAAGCUAUUUAGGUAGCGCCUCGUGAAUUCAUCUCCGGGGGUAGAGCACUGUUUCGGCAAGGGGGUCAUCCCGACUUACCAACCCGAUGCAAACUGCGAAUACCGGAGAAUGUUAUCACGGGAGACACACGGCGGGUGCUAACGUCCGUCGUGAAGAGGGAAACAACCCAGACCGCCAGCUAAGGUCCCAAAGUCAUGGUUAAGUGGGAAACGAUGUGGGAAGGCCCAGACAGCCAGGAUGUUGGCUUAGAAGCAGCCAUCAUUUAAAGAAAGCGUAAUAGCUCACUGGUCGAGUCGGCCUGCGCGGAAGAUGUAACGGGGCUAAACCAUGCACCGAAGCUGCGGCAGCGACGCUUAUGCGUUGUUGGGUAGGGGAGCGUUCUGUAAGCCUGUGAAGGUGUGCUGUGAGGCAUGCUGGAGGUAUCAGAAGUGCGAAUGCUGACAUAAGUAACGAUAAAGCGGGUGAAAAGCCCGCUCGCCGGAAGACCAAGGGUUCCUGUCCAACGUUAAUCGGGGCAGGGUGAGUCGACCCCUAAGGCGAGGCCGAAAGGCGUAGUCGAUGGGAAACAGGUUAAUAUUCCUGUACUUGGUGUUA
rnacentral:rRNA from 1 species